CUGUGGCAAUUUCAUAUCGGUUUUUCGUUUUCAACCUCGGUCUGAUGCUUCCGUCGCACUUUUUGGUUUCACACCUCAGAUCCUUGUUUUGGUGCAUCAGUCCUGCAUCAUGUUGUAGGAUGGCGCUUAUUCCGUUGUGUUGGGCUGUUGAUGCUUAGCAGCUCUUCCUGGAACCAUUCUUUUCUGGAUCUUUGUUUCGUGGCUGCAAUAUCCGUUCAGCGUGCGGCACUCUUCAGGUUUUUGGUGUAGGCUUCCUGCCAGAUUGUGGUCCAGACCCUUGGCGACAUUAACCUUAGGGUACCGACAUCGGCCGCCAUCCUCUGGAUGAAUUAUUGCAAGCAGCAAUUACCUGGUCAUGUUAACUGCGC